rnacentral:rRNA from 1 species
GGUUGCGAUCAUACCAGCACUAAUGCACCGGAUCCUAUCAGAACUACGCAGUUAAGCGUGCUUGGGCGAGAGUAGUACUAGGAUGGGUGACCCCCUGGGAAGUCCUCGUGUUGCAACCC